GGACUCUCUAAGAAGUGAGAUUGAAGAAAAUUAUAAGGGAAUCAUAAACACAUUAUUGAAAAUGUGGCAAGCCAAACAUUCUACUCAACAAUCUCGCAGUACUACAAUUUGGAAACCUGUGAAGUGUCCUCGACAACUAGGUUCU